rnacentral:tRNA from 1 species
ACCUGAGUGGCUCAGUAGGUUGAGCAUCCGACUUUGGCUCAGGUCUCACAGUCUGUGGGUUCGAGUCCCGCAUUGGGCU